ensembl:lncRNA
CCCCACCCUGCACUUCAAACAGUGAAAACAAUGUGCGCCAGGUCUUCAGGAAGAACAAAAGAAGAAAAGCACCAGGCCCAGAUGGUGUUACACCAGCCUGUCUGAGAACCUGUGCUGACCAACUGGCCCCCAUCUUUUCACAGAUCUUCAACAGAUCUCUGGAGUUGUGUGAAGUGCCUUCCUGCUUCAAACGCUCCACCAUCACCCCGUUCCAAAGAAACCCAAGAUAACAGGACUUAACGACUACAGCCCUGUGGCUCUAACGUCUGUCGUCAUGAAGUCGUUUGAAAAACUGGUUCUGGCUUAUCUGAAGGACAUCACUGGACCCUCACUGGACCCCCUGCAGUUUGCUUACAGAGCAAACAGGUCUGUGGAUGAUGCAAUCAACAUGGGAUUGCACUUCAUCCUGCAACAUCUGGACAAAACAGGGACUUAUGUGAGGAUCCUGUUUGUGGACUUUAGUUCGGCUUUCACCACCAUCAUCCCAACAGCCCUCCAGACCAAAUUGACCCAGCUCCCUGUUCCUAGCUCUAUCUGUCAGGGGAUCACCAGCUUUCUGACUAGCAACAGCUAGUGAGACUGGGGAAAUUCAUGUCCAGCAGCUGCUCCACCAACCCUGGUGCCCCUCAGGGAUGUGUUCUCUCCCCACUGCUCUUCUCUCUCUACACCAACGACUGCACCUCUAAAGACCCCUCUGUCAAGCUCCUGAAGUUUGCAGAUGACACUACAGUCAUUGGUCUCAUCCAGGACGGUGACGAGUCUGCUUACAGACAAGAGGUUGAGCAGCUGGCUGUCUGGUGCAGUCUUAACAACCUGGAGCUGAACACUCUCAAAACAGUGGAGAAACCCCCCUGCACUCCCCCCUCUCACCAUCAUAGACAGCACUGUGGCUGCAGUGGAGACAUUCAGAUUCCUGGGAACCACCAUCUCUCAGGACCUGAAGUGGGACAAUCACAUUGACUCCAUUGUUAAAAAGGCCCAUCAAAGGUUGUACUUCCUUCGCCAGCUGAGGAAGUUUAACCUGCCACAGGAGCUGCUGAAACAGUUCUACUCAGCCGUCAUUGAGUCUGUCCUGUGUACUUCAGUAACUGUCUGGUUUGGUUCAGCUACAAAAUCAGACAUCAGAAGACUACAGAGAACGGUUUGGACUGCUGAAAGGAUUAUUGGUGCUCCCCUGCCCACCCUUCAAGAACUGUAUACAUCCAGAGUGAGGAAAAGGGCUCAGAAAAUCACUCUGGAUCCCUCUCAUCCAAGUUACCCCCUUUUUGAACUUCUGCCAUCUGGUCUGCGCAUCAGAGCCGCAAAUACCAGGACAGUCAGGCACAAGAACAGUUUCUACCCCCAGGCAAUCUACCUCAUGAACAGUUAAAUGUUCCCCACUUAUGCAAUAAAAAUGUGCAAUAUUCUUAUAUUUAUUUGUUACCACUCCAUCCAAGUACAUCUCUACAUCUUACUCUAUUCUAUUCCAUUAUCAUCUAUAGCACAACUGUUCAUACAAUUUAUUUAUUUGCAUUUUUUUUUUCUGUGUGUUGUUGUCUCUGUGUACUGGAAGCUUAUGUCACUAAAACAAAUUCCUUGUAUGCAUAAGCAUACAUGCCAAUAAAGCUCUUUCUGAUUCUGAAACAUCUCAUUUAAAAACAGCUGCAUUUUUUUCCUUAAUUUAACCUUAUGCAGUGAUUACAGUACCACGAACAACUAUUUUUGAUCUUUAUAAGGUUCAUGUUUACAAAAAAUAUGUCAAAUUAAGUAUUGUUUGUAGUAUUUUAUUGUUUUUAUACCAUAUUUAUGUUUUUGCUUUGAUUUUUUAUUUUUAUUUUUUUUAUUUAAAAAAACAUUGAGGUGGUCUGAUCGAUUCUCAGUGAAACAAGAAAAACUGUCAAUAUCUUGACAGCUGACAUUAAAGAAAAGAAUAGGUAAUAUUUCAUAUAAAUAACUGUAUAUAUUAUAACUGUGUGUGUGUGUAUAUAUAUAUAUAUAUAUAUAUAUAUAUAUAUAUAUAUAUAUAUAUAUAUAUAUUGUGACGGGAGGAGCCAACGACAGACUCAGUGGGCGUGGCGUCAGGCCUCGGAGAGGUUUUUAUUUAACAGAAAAACCAAAAAGAGGGAAUAAAGUGUCCAAAAGGGGAAGAGUGUCCAAAACAACAGGGAAUCUGGUGUCCUCGUCGUGCUGCGGGGUUCGUGGGGGUCUUGCAGUGUUCACGGAGGGAAGGGUCCAGGUAAGGGGCGGAGUCCGGUGGCCGCACGCGCUCCCCUCUUGGGUCCGGGGCGCGAGGGGCGGCGGCUCCUUCUAGCGGCCGCAUCCUUCUCAUUGGACGCGGCGCCUUCAGGGGAUGGACAGCCUGGCAUUUUGGCCUGAUGGCCGUGUGAACGGGUGCGGUCCUCAUCCGGACCGCGGGUCCGGCAGCUCACGUCUCUGAUGGCGCGGGAGUCCCUCAACGCACCCUUCCUGGACCCACGAGGACACCAGUGUGCAUGCACGGGGAAGAGACCGGUCUCCCGAGGAGAGGCGCGUUGGGCUUUUAAACAGCGGCGGUGAUGAGGCUCCAUUUCUUUCAGGUGUGCCCCAUCACACGCUGCCAGCCCUGACUUGUCCAGCGCCCCUCCUCUCUCACACACCCACCCCUGUCGGGAGCCUGGUGAAGGGCGGUGAUUUAGGACGGGGUGCCGAUGAUUAUCAGGGAGGAGGCAGCUGAC